rnacentral:rRNA from 1 species
AAUAGAUACCCGGGUAGUCCACGCCGUAAACGAUGAGUGCUAAGUGUUAGAGGGUUUCCGCCCUUUAGUGCUGCAGCUAACGCAUUAAGCACUCCGCCUGGGGAGUACGGCCGCAAGGCUGAAACUCAAAGGAAUUGACGGGGGCCCGCACAAGCGGUGGAGCAUGUGGUUUAAUUCGAAGCAACGCGAAGAACCUUACCAGGUCUUGACAUCCUCUGACACUCCUAGAGAUAGGACGUUCCCCUUCGGGGGACAGAGUGACAGGUGGUGCAUGGUCGUCGUCAGCUCGUGUCGUGAGAUGUUGGGUUAAGUCCCGCAACGAGCGCAACCCUUGAUCUUAGUUGCCAGCAUUCAGUUGGGCACUCUAAGGUGACUGCCGGUGACAAACCGGAGGAAGGUGGGGAUGACGUCAAAUCAUCAUGCCCCUUAUGACCUGGGCUACACACGUGCUACAAUGGGCGGUACAAAGGGCAGCGAAACCGCGAGGUGGAGCCAAUCCCAUAAAGCCGCUCUCAGUUCGGAUUGCAGG